rnacentral:rRNA from 1 species
AACGAACGCUGGCGGCAGGCUUAACACAUGCAAGUCGAACGAGAUCUUCGGAUCUAGUGGCGCACGGGUGAGUAACGCGUGGGAAUCUACCUUGGAGUCUGGGAUAACAGUUGGAAACGACUGCUAAUACCGGAUACGCCCUUAGGGGGAAAGGUUUACUGCUCCGAGAUGAGCCCGCGUCCAAUUAGGUAGUUGGUGAGGUAAAGGCUCACCAAGCCGACGAUUGGUAGCUGGUCUGAGAGGAUGACCAGCCACACUGGGACUGAGACACGGCCCAGACUCCUACGGGAGGCAGCAGUGGGGAAUAUUGGACAAUGGGGGCAACCCUGAUCCAGCCAUGCCGCGUGAGUGAUGAAGGCCUUAGGGUUGUAAAGCUCUUUCGCCGGUGACGAUGAUGACGGUAACCGGAGAAGAAGUCCCGGCUAACUUCGUG